GAUGAACGCUGGCGGCGUGCCUAGUACAUGCAAGUCGAACGAAGAAGCCCAGCUUUCGCGGUGGAGUAGUGGCCAACGGGUGGGUAACACGCAAGUAAACAACCCAUAUAUCUGAGUGGAACCUCUGCGAAUAGGCGUAAUAACGGCCGGGUACGUUCACCACCCGGUGGGUGUUAGAAAGAAUUAUCGGUUUUGGAUGGACUCGCGGGCUAUCAGCUUGUUGGUGAGGUAAUGGCACACCAAGGCGACGACGGGUAGCCGGCCUGAGAGGGUGACCGGCCACACUGGGACUGAGACACGGCCCAGACUCCUACGGGAGGCAGCAGUGGGGAAUAUUGCACAAUGGGCGCAAGCCUGAUGCAGCGACGCCGCGUGAGGGAUGACGGCCUUCGGGUUGUAAACCUCUUUCAGUAGGGAAGAAGCGAAAGUGACGGUACCUGCAGAAGAAGCACCGGCUAACUACGUG
rnacentral:rRNA from 1 species